CGAAACCCUUAUUUUUCUAAUUCUCUUUUCCUUCCCCACAUUCUCUCUUCUCUCUCACGCUCACACUAUCGCUCCUUUCUUCAACCGGCGGCUUCAGCAGUUGUGACCGGUGCUGGGGAGGACUAUUCAGAUCCAGGUAUUUGAUCGGUAGUAACUGUGCGAAUCGUCGCGGCGGAGACUCAAGGUAAACCUGAUGCUGCGUUCGCAAGCCUCAGAGUCACCUUCGUUUUUACUUAUUCCCAUUUGUUCCUUUUUAUUCUGGAACAGUGAUGUAUUUAUUAUGUAUAACUACUACUAGAAAGGCUUAAGACUUGUACCACUGUUUUUGGGAAUUGUAAUUGUUUAGAGUUAUAUAAUUUGAAGUUAGUGAA